UAAUACGUAGGGUGCAAGCGUUAAUCGGAAUUACUGGGCGUAAAGCGUGCGCAGGCGGUCGUGCAAGACAGAUGUGAAAUCCCCGGGCUCAACCUGGGAACUGCAUUUGUGACUGCACGACUGGAGUGCGGCAGAGGGGGAUGGAAUUCCGCGUGUAGCAGUGAAAUGCGUAGAUAUGCGGAGGAACACCGAUGGCGAAGGCAAUCCCCUGGGCCUGCACUGACGCUCAUGCACGAAAGCGUGGGGAGCAAACAGG
rnacentral:rRNA from 1 species